AUGUCCUCCACUGACACCCUUUCUGCUACUGAUGGUGCUCUUCUCUCUCCUGAGGAUGCUACUGAGUACAGGAGUAUUGUUGGUGGCCUGCAAUAUCUGACGAUCACGCGUCCUGAUCUCUCCUUUGUGGUUAACAAGGUGUGCCAGUAUCUUCAUGCUCCCACUGAUGUACACUGGUCUGCUGUGAAGCGCAUACUGCGUUAUGUGCGUCUCACUGUCUCCUUUGGUCUUCACCUGCGCCCCAGGUCCUCCGGAGUUCUUUCUGCAUUCUCUGAUGCUGAUUGGGCUGGGUGUCCAGAUGACAGGCGAUCCACGGGGGGACAUGCUGUGUUCUUGGGUCCUAAUCUGAUCGCCUAG
rnacentral:rRNA from 1 species